UGAUGAGACAUCAAGAACCUGAGCUUCAUUAAGUCCUGAAACCAGGUGUGUGAUCUCAGUUGGAAGACUGUGGGUUUUGGCUGGGUUGGAGUCCUGGCCAUGUGGGUUUGAGUCCCAAUCUGAGGUACAUGGUGUCACCCAUGGCCCAGCCAAGUUGACACAUAAAAUUAGCCAUUACACGUAGUUAUCCAGCCUAAGAUUACAGAUCUCACUCAUCUUUUGCUCCAGCUACAAAAGAAUAUUCCCCAUACCUGCCCUGUAUUUUCCAACUUCUAUUCCUUUGCUCAUGCAGUGCCUUCCACCUCUAAUACCCUUCCCUGUCCCUCAGUUCCAUUUAUUGAAAUCCUAUAUUUCCUUCACAAGUAGCUUUAUACCACCUACUCCUGAAAGCGCUGUCACGUUCUAGCAGAAAAUCUAAGAUAAUUUCCACAACCUCUGUAUCCUUGGGUUUCCUCUUCUGUAAACUAGGGAUAAUGAUUCCUAACACAGUAAAGAUUGCAUGAGCUAAUACACAUAAGGCAGUCAGAACAGUGCCUAUCACGAGCAUUGAUGGUUUUUUAUUAUUAUUCUCUACCCGUUCCCCCAUUCCCUACUAGGAACGUGUGAAUAAUAAUAAUAAUGGUGAAUGAAAAUUUAGCAGUUAUCUUCAAGGUAAAGUGCUUUGAAAACAGACAUCUACACGUAAAAUUUACUUCUGUUCUCCCCUUUCAUUUGUAUCUCAGUGGUCUUGAACAUCCAAUGGUUAUAAGAUUUACUGUCCAGGGCUGUAAACACAAAACAACGUCUGCUCUAUUCACAAGCAUUAAAGGAUGUUGAAGGAUAAUUGUGACUAUAUGUGAUUUUUGUCUCAUGCACUGAUUCCACGUAGAAUCUAAACAGUGACUCUACUUUGUGUGUUUGGUUUUAACCACUAAAUCCUUUCUCCUGGGGUUUACUGAGGAAGCCCUGGGGGAGAGUGGUCAGCAAAAUGUUUGCCCUAGGCAUGGCUGAGAUGCUCUUAGUUUUCUCACUCUGCCUUUACUUUCACUGGUUGGUCAUAGUGCCAAUGCCUAGGGGUUUAGAGCUCUCAGAAUCGCUCUGAUUCUAACCCUUCAAGGGCUGUCUUCUGGCUGAAUUACUAGCUGUUUAGCAACUGUAUUUCAACAGCUUGUAAGCCUUUCACUAUUGUGGGGAAAUGUAAACGAGGGACUCUGAGCCCACAAGGGGCAAAUGCUUAGUCAAGUGGGUGUCACCCAGGCAUGAAGACUACAGAGAUGCAAAUGACCAACCUGAGACAAAGAGCACCUAUUUGUGCCUGGAUGUCACCUUCAGGCAGAGAGACUUCAAUGGGGAAAAUGGCCCAGAGGACCCUUGGUACAGAGUCAAAAGGAGAAGAGAGGAGCGGUUAGAUGCGUGGACUUGGCUUUAAGGAGAGCCAAGAGAGGUAGCUGGAGCGGCUGCUUCCCUCCUCAUCAGGCUUGAAUGGGGAAGAAAAGGGCCUUAAGAACCCUGGGACCUGCGAGAAGACGCUACUUCCAAGCAGUAUGAAGUUCUGGGAGCGCCAAUAAAUGGCCAUCCAUUUCUUCCAGGGUAAUCACAUCUUUUUCGCAUUUGACCCCCCAAAAUUUAGACACUUACUACCUCAGCCUGUCUAUGCUGUAUAUGAGCAAGAGGUAUGCAUUCUCCAGAUUCUGGAGAAAAUGAAGUAAUCGCCUUAACAAUGAGUCAGGAAUGACAUUCAGCCUCUCUCAGCAGUCAACAGCAAGUUCUUUCGCAAUGCCUCACUGCCUGCCACGUAUCACAGAUUUCCAGCUCCAGUCACUCCAGAUAUUUUCAUUUGUACUCCAGGACAGAAACCACCAUUUGACUUGUGAGCAUUUAGUGGAUUAUGUGCUUCAUAAUCCAUUUCCUUCCCCCUAAGCAUCUAUUUGUAAUACUAAGAGGUCUUCAAAGUAGGCGAAAUGUACGAAUAUGGUUCCUAUUUGGUGCCUGCUUAUUCACUGAACAGAAAACUUACUAUCCUCUUCCUUUCCAGCCUGGAACUGGAUGCAUUAUACUUGUCUCCAGCCUUUUCCUGAAUGGGCUCAUCUCUCACUCUAAAGAGAUGAUCAAAGAGACAAAAAUUAACACAGACCUGUGAAAAUCUAUUAUUUUAUACAAGAGAAGGAGAAAAAUGGCCCAAUAUUCUGGAAUCAAAUGUAGAUUUCUCGCCCUCUGACAUAGAUUUUUUUGUAUGAUAUCAAAAUACUCUUAGAAACUCUUCGCCUUGUGUUUUUAGUAGCUACUACUGAAAUUCUCCUACUAAACAGGAACAGGACGUACUGAAAAUACAAUCAGCCAAACAAGAAGAGACUUUGUGGAAUUUAAAGUGCAGUACCAUUCGGCAUCUAUGUUGGGCAUAGAAAAAUAAUAAAUAUGACACUGUAGAAAACUAUAUUAAUGAAAGGAUAAACUGAAGAAACUAUACUAGAGAACAGAAAAAAUAUAUAUGUAAAUGAGAGAUAAAGAAUAGCUAGUAUAGAAAACAGGUCCCAGGAUCUAUCUUAUUAAUUCUACUGAGAAAGGAAAGCUGAAGCAAUAAUAAGCGAAAAUAUUCUUGACUUUACAAACAAAAUCAACCUAACUGAGUGUAUAUUCAGUGCGUUUUAUCCAAAAUAUUAACAGGUACAAAAAUAUUGGCAAUGAAAAAAAUUUAAAACAGAAGGAAUUAUCUUAAAAAACGGAAGAGGCUAUUGACAGAAGAAAACAAAAGAAUGACCCUCCUAGGUCUUCCCAUCACAAUGAAUGCCAAAAGGUCAUGAAGAAAUGUCUACAGAGAUAUGUAGAGAGAAGGUUAUUAUCUACAAAUUCAGAAAAAAUUGUUAUCUGUGACAACAAUAGAAAGAUGUUCUCAGAAAUGCAAGAACUAUGAAAAUGUACAUUUCAUCACUCCUCCUGAAGGUUCCUGAGAAUGUCCACCAGAAAAUCAUGAGGGGAGUCCAAAGUAAGAUCUUAGGACAAGAAGGAGGAAAGAACUGGAAAUAAGUACUGAAACCAGUUACACGUGCAUACACACACACAAUUACCCUGGGUUUUUUAUUUGUGGCCACACCACACGACUUGUGGGAUCUGUUCCCUGACCAGGGACUGAAUCCAGACCAAGGCAGGGAAAGCCUGGAAUCUUAAUCACUAGGCCACCAUGGAACUCCCAGAGGAAAGGAUGAUUGUAGUUUUGUUUUGUUUUGUUUUUCCACACACACAAUUAUUAUCAAUGUGCUUAUGGGAGCUUGAAUAUAAAAAGUAAACUGAAUGGAUAAUUAUAUUUUUAAUUGUUCAGUUAAGGGACUUCCCUUGUGGUCCAGUGGUUAAGACUAUGCACUCCUUGGGGCUUCCCUGGUGGCGCAGUGGUUGAA